AAAGAGGUUAGCUCCAUCGAUCUUCUUAUUACAUUGCGGCUUAUUACAUAUGCAUAUGUAGCUAGAAUACAUGCAUGCCAAGAAAUAAACACUGCAAGACAAUAGAAGAAACCAUAUAUACGUAUAUACAAUUAUACAUAUGCAUAGGAUUAAUUUACUGCAAUUCAUUCUGCAAACGAUGGUGAUGCCUUCUCAUAGUCAUCCACCCAGAAGAACUCACUGGGGGCACCUUCUGCUACUACUUGCAGCCAUCUUCAUGCUUGAUUUCGACCUCCCUACGCCCAAGGUUAGUACAAUUUUUCCUCCUCCGGUACAUGGUGGGCCCCCAUAAAAUGUGAUCUGCACAUGCAUGCUACAGGCCUACAGCAACGCCAUUCUUAGUAUAUACUAGUUGAGUUAAAAAAGAACGUGUUUUCAAUAAGAAAAUCAAUCUCAAAAGUUAUACUAAAUGUAUACAUAUAAAAAAACUAUUAAUAUUUAUAUAUAAUAAGCAUCGUUUGCUGUAAGUCAUUGUCAAACCCGGAUUUAAGGGCAAACUCGGAUGCGUCUCAAAUGUAUGUUAGGAUUAAGUGUCACACAUGAUGACUCAUAGGUACAGAAAUCAAUGUCAUAUCUUUAUUAUAUACUAGCCAGUUGCUCGUACUUUGAUACAGUUUUUAUAUAUCAUGUAAACAGGUAUUGAGAUAUUUAUUCAAAUAUAAUUAUUGUUUAUUUCUAAAUAAUAAGGUACGUGUGGUCUACUGGCUAGCCCUAAAUUUCUGGAGUAGGGGGUGUGGGUGAGUGCUCGCUCUGUAUUAUUUUUUAUAUAAUUAUUGUUUUUCUAAACACUGUGGUGCGGGUGGGGUUGGGUGCUGGACAAGCAUAGGUGAGAGAGCGUUGCGCGGGCCCUGGGCAUGGGGUGGUAGAACUAGUCAGGGCGUGUGGGGUGGGCCUAGAGUAUCAGGUGGAGGGUAAAGCCAUAUAGCACCAAGUGCCCAGUUCUUAAUAGAGUAGUAUAGAAUAGAAGUUCUGUACAAAAUAGCUAAGUAAAUACAUCAUAUGCCGACAACGAUCCUCCGCAAGCAUAGUUGAAUGGGACGAGACGACGACCUAGACCUCUCCGAACGCAUCGUAUCAUCCUUCAUGUUUCUCCAGCGGUACCUGUUCUUAAUCUGGUGUGAUUAUAGCAAGAUUGAAGUCACAUACAUCCAUCGCUCAGUAAGUGUGGCGAAUAAUGUGCAUGAGCUCACUUACGGUGUGAGCUCAUGUGUAGUGUAGGGGUUACCAAAGAAAAUGGUUAAGACUGAGAAUUGCUUUUAAAGAAGUUGGUCAAAAAAAUUAGCGAUUACUAAGUAUAGGUAUAUACCAACCCAAUUAAAAAAUUGAUCAUAAUUAAUAAUAAAUCUCACAAUGCAAUACAAAUGACAGGUUAAGUUUAAUUCCAUAAAUUACUCGUGUGGUGGUCCGAGCCGCUCAUGAUCGUGAGCACGACUAAUAUACCAGUUUUACACUCUGAAAAGUUUGCACAUCUUUAUCUAUAAGUCACGUAAAAGUUCAGAGAACUUUGUACCUAACCACGCCUGUGCCAGCUAGCACAGUACCACACUACCGAGGUGUGGUGGCAUAGGGACGCUAUGAGUCCUUUGCAAAGUUCCACUAGCAUGAGAAAACCCGCUACAGUUUUAGGACGAAGGAAGCAUAGGCCUUUUCCACGGUAUAUAACCCCACCGCAGUAAUUAUAGCCAGCACUAUACUCUGCAGCGACACCUAGCCGCUUGCCGCUCACUAGCUUUCAUAAUUAAUUGGCCAAGAAUAGAGCCAUAUAGUCCUCGUGGUUACACUGUUGUCUCAUGUGGUCGCUCUAUGUUCCAAUUAAACAAUAUGAUCUUAUCAUGUAUCAUAAUAAAGCGAAUAGUAAUAACUAAUAAGGGAACAUGAGCAUGAAUCAUAAGUAGCAUUAACAAAAAACCAGGUAGAGCAAUAGCAAGACUACCCAAUAAUUCAUUUGUAUGCAAGGUGUGGGGUAAACAAAACUAGGUAACUUAUUAGGUCCCAUCAAGUUAACCUAAGCAUGUCACGGUGAUUAUCAUGAACAUUAUUAGGUAAAAAAUGUGAUCAAGGACACAACUUUCCUUAUAUUUGUGAUAACCUUGUUGUCUAGAUGAUGUCCCAAAAGUUGGGCUUCAGAUUCCUUGACACCUCGCCUCUACUCGUAGAAAUACAUACAAUCAAACAAAUAAUGGAUAUGGUAACAUUACACCAAAGCAAAAAAAACAAAUCACACAAUAAUCUUCUACGUGUCACUAGAAGAUCGUAGGUUCGAGAACUACUAAGAUCGGAGUUAUGGUUAAAAAGAUAUAGUUUUCUGAAGUUUUAGAUGUUUAAACAAAACUAUAUUCUAUGUUGAUUAAUAUAAAUCAUGUGAGAAAGAUAAUCUAAAGAAAUGAUUAAUUCAACUUUAAUCUAAAUUAUAACUUAAUUAGAGAUCAUCUUUUAAUCUAGAGAGACGAUUAGGGAUAAGCCGGCGGCCGAAAAUAAGAGUCGAAACCUCCUCGAGAAGGUGACAGCAUUGGAGAAGGAGAAGGAGGACCUCGGUUGCCAACUUACUGAUGAAAAAGAGAACACAUAGAACGCCCGCAUGGAGGCUCAGGAUGCCCGCAGGCAUGCUGCUAACUUGUAGCUAGAGCUGAAGAAUAUGCGUGGGCACCGCGAGAGGAUAGAGUCUUCCACCCGUGCUGGGGUUGAACGGGCGCACACGCUUUUCGUGGAUGCGUACCGUGACCUUGGCGAGCAAACUGCCCCUUUUGACAAAUCGGGGGAGGAGGUGGGGACCCGCUUUCUAGGGUGGCUGCAAGAUGAGCUAGAGUCGCUCCCGUCCAUUGUGACGGGUCUCAUGUCCUAUGCGUCUCUUAUCACUUGCGAAGGGGCUGCGAAUGAUUUGUCUCGAGAGGUAUGUAGGCAUUUCGAGGUCUUUGACCAAGCGAACGAGGACUUCGAUCGUGGUGUGUUCUAGAUUGAAGAUGACGUGUUGAAGCGCUCUGUUGGGGCGCUUUUUGAUAGGAUGUGGGGCCCUCACGGCCGCGGCAUCGACCGAGAGAGGUCAGACCGAGCGCUGGCACAGGCGAUGAAUGAAGAAGAUGUGGAGGACCUCGCCGGCCUUGACAGUUCGGUGACCCGGAGUGAUGCUUCGGCGGAGGCGGGAGCCGAAGAGUGAACCAUGCUCCAAGGAGGUGUCACUAAGGGUCCUACGACAACAGAUGCUUUGGCGUAGGUUGAGAGAGUGUAAUAGGGAAUAGACUGAUAGUGUUCGUUUUGUGUGAUACUGAAGAUCGGUUGCUGCGCAGGUUCCGGCGUCUGGGCCUGCGCAAGCAAACCCUGAUGAUGACAUGAAUGAUGAUAUUUUGAUGGAUGGAAAUGUGGUGUCUCUUAGUAGUAACGCGUCUGGGAAUCUGAUGCUGGGUCGUGGUCUUCGGAGGGUGGAAAGUUAUGGAGCCUUUUUUCUUGGAUAGAUGACGAAUCCUCGGAGGAUGAUUUAGAUUUUUUUGCGGCGUUGGAUUUAGCUGCAGCGGAGUCUCCAUUGAGGGUCGCUCCCCCGUGAAGCGUCGAUGACUUCGGAUGGUGCACUCCAGGUGACCCGCGGGGGCAAAAAAGAUGGGGGUAUCGAAACAAAACGUCAGUGAGUCUUCGCAAGGUGUUAGAAGGCAUCGUCGAAUGGGUAUGGAGAGGUCACAUCUUUGGAUCAGAACACAGCUUGAUCAGGGGCCUAUCGUGACUUGCUGGCGCCGACAUCCGGGUCGUGUAUGGGGGAAGGGAUCUGCGGGACCUUUUUGAUGGGGAAGAGUUGAGGUUGAUGCUGUUUAAUUUCCGAUAAGCUGGUCUUAUCCCGAAAGAAGAACCAAUGUAAUGAUGAGUGUUGCCAUCGCUGUUCUUUGGCGACGAUGAGCGAAAAUGCUGCCCUCGCCCCCCUUCGCCAAAGGACGGCGAUGGGGACA